rnacentral:rRNA from 1 species
ACAUCUGCCCAGUGAAUAUAUUUUAACGGCCGCAGUACCUUGACUGUGCAAAGGUAGCAUAAUCAUUUGACUUUUAAAUGGAGCCUGGAAUGAAAGAGGUAACGUAGACGACUUGUCUUAUUAAUAACACUUUAAAAUUGCUAUAGGAGUGAAAAUACUCUUAUAUCUAAAAAUAGACGAGAAGACCCUUAGAAUUUUUAAAAUGUAUAAGUAGAUUUUGUAUAAUUUUUUGUUGGGGCAACAAUAUUUCAGAAAAAUAAAUAUUUUAGUGGAAAAAAUAAGUCGAUUUUAUAAUAAUAUAAAAAUUACCUAAGGGAUAACAGCAUAAUUUUAUUAAUAAGUUUGUGACCUCGAUGUUGGACUAGGUACUAUUAAGGCUAAUCGUUUUAA